GGAUCUCCCUGCCAGAGCUCCCUGGAUCUCACUGCUGGAGCUCUCUAGGAUCUCCCUGCCAGAGCUCCCUGGCAUCUCCCUGCCAGAGCUCCCUGGAUCUCACUGCUGGAGCUCCCUUCCAGAGCCUUGUGUUACCCAGCCAGCUCAAUGAAGUGUUGCUGCUGGUGGGAUGUUCACCUCCUGCAUUUUAAUUGUAUGGUGAACAGAGAAGAGGCUGCAGAGGAGAAACACGCUCCUGGAAAGCUCUCUGCCAUCACAUCCCUGCAUGCUUGGCUUUUAUAGAUUCCUUGCUCCAAAAAACUGAAAGAAAUGCUCAAAUUUGAUGUGGUUUCUUGCCCUUCUGUAAUCUUGCUUGACAGUUUUUCCUUGGGAUUUUUAAUGCACAGUUUCGGUACAAGCGGGAACAUGUGUGGGGAUUACAUAACCCUGGGGAAGCCGGUGGGAGACUGGCUCCAUUAUUGGGCAGAGAUGAAAAUCAGGAGAACUGGACUGGUUUUGUGUAAGGUGUUUGCAUAGGUGCCUGUGGGUACUGCAGGUGUUUUGAUUCCUGGGAAGAGAUGGUUCCUCGGAGCUGUGAGCUGGAAGGGGAGGAGAGGUCAGCGGUGCUCAGGGUAAAAUGGUUCCUAGUUGCUGAAAUGAGCUUAGGUGAAAAGCACCAUUCAAGGGAAAAUUAAUCCAUUUUGGGAGAAGAUGGAAUAAUGUUCUCUCUGUCUUCCUGCAAUCUUGGUGGAGCAGAGAAAGCUGUACAAAUUCCUGCUGGAAUGGCUGGUUUUGGUGUGUGUUUCCAGGCUGUAACAGCAGACAGAAAUCUCGCAGAAUCGCAGUUCUGUAAUAUGAUUGGAACAAGCAUAUAAAUGUGAUAGAAGGAGGAGAUCUCUGCAAGGAAUUCCUGCUGUCAUUUCACUCAGCAUUUGGCAGUGUCACUGAUUGCUCCAGCAGCUCCAGGCUGGUUUUUUUUUUCCUUAAUCGCUUUACAGAGCAGUCACAUAUUCCCCUCUCCUCCGAGUGUGGCCAUGGCUGUCUAAUUAACAGAGAUCUUCUUUUUAGGGAGAUUUUUGGCUUCCAGAAAAAUUCUGUGUGGUUUCCAGCCAGCGUUCCUUCUCCCACUGGGUCUAUAAUAGCUCCCAAAAUUCCCUAGCUUGUAAUCACUGCUGCAGCCAGAUGGGGACUAGGUGGAACACCCAUUGCAUCUGUGCCUGCAUUUAUGAAUUUGCCAGAAGUAUCUCACUUAGGUGAGAUUUUAGAUAUAUAUUUCAUGAGUUAAUGAGCCCUGAACAGCGAUGAGGAGAAUCCAGCGCUGGUACUGCCAGGGUUGCCAUCCUUCUCCCAGAUCCUGGCAUGAUGCUGAUGGAGCAGGGAGAGUACUGAGGAGUCAUUCAGCCUGACAUGAGCAAAGCAGAGGCUGCAGUUCCAUCUUACCAACUGAUGGUACUUUAAGAGGUUCUUCUUGGAUUUAUCAGGGUCUCCUUGCUCCUGCUCUUCUGCUUCAUUGCUCUCCUCAUCUUUUCUCCCUGUGGAAGGAGCUGUGAAAGCUGUGUGAGGUUUGGAUUCUCUUUGCUUUUCCUCUGCUCCCUCUCCCUUCCCACCCUCCUGGAUGAUUUCAGAGUAUAGUUGCCCAAAUUAGUGAUGUGGGUGGCAGGAUAUGGGGGAGGAAGAGGGAGGGCACAGGGUGCUCCUGAAUUGGAUCUCAGCACGGGAGGGUAGUAACACAAAAGAGCUGCCUGAAUUCCUCAGGGCAUCCUGGUGUUCCUGGCUGUGGUGAAUCCAGCGCUGCAGCAAGGCUGGGCUGGCUGGACUCUCACUCCUGCACUUGCCUGGCUGUGCUGGGGGAGCCUGAGGGCAGCAAUCCCAAGCUUGUGCUGCAUUUUGGGAUGUGCAGCCCCGGUGGCACUAAAAUCUGUGUGUGAGAGCAGAUGAGUGAGUGCCCUGGGUUGGUGUGGGUGUGCAUGAGGAUGGAAUGAUGCUGCUGGAUGAGGUUCUGCUUCCCACCUGCCUGCCCUGACCCGUUCACCUUCCUUGGUAGGGUAUCCAUGCUGUCAUUUAACUCUUUCGUAGAAGAGCCUCAUCAGCACAAGUUGUGAUGAACUUUGCUGUCACCAUGGCUCGCUUAUCCCCCAGUAACAGCAGCUGGUAUCCAAGAACAGGCUCCUUUGGCAGGUGGAGGGAGAGGGAAGGUGGUGAUUUCCACUGGGGAGCAGGAACAAGCUUCAAGAGGCUUGGUGGGAACCCAGAGCCUUUCCAUUUGCCCAGCUCCUUUCAGGGAAGCUGGAAUCUCUCCACUAGUCCAGCUCCUCUCAGGGAAGCAGGAGCCUUUCCACUUACUGAACUUCUUUCAGAGCGUCAGUCUGUGGAUGCCCCAUGUUGGAUACUGGAAAUAAUCACUUUCUCCAACCAUUAUUUCAUUAAGAUAUACUGGAAUUUAGGUCAUUUUAUUCCUAUCAGUCUUAUGUCCAGGUCAAAUCCUUUUGCAAAAAGGACUUAAAAGGUUUCUUCUGGAUCUGAUGAGAAUUAUCCCUUCCUAGGAGAGAUCUUAAACAGUGACUCCAAACUCUGCAAAUCCAUCUAAACUUCUCUUUCCUUCAGGCAGCUCUUCCUGGGUGCAAAAAGAGCCAUUGCUCUGCUCAAAGGGGAUUAUUUCCUCCUGACUUAUAUAAGUUCUAAAAUAAGAAAAUAAAUCCCAACCUUGACAGGGAUGAAACCGUUUUUCCAAACUCAGGAGUGAUCCCUUUUGAAGCAGCAAUUGCUUCAAUGGAUUGUCAGGAGUGCCUGGGAAGGGAAAUCUCAGCUGUGACACAAGGGGGGCAGCUCCAUCCCACGCCUCGGGCUGUCAUCCCUGUUAUAGGGAUGUUCUGGGGGAGAGGGAAUGAUGCUACAGCAGGAAAAUUGAGUUUUCAUUCCAUCUUCCAGUGUGUUUUUAAUCCUUCUGUCCCAGAUUUUGGCUUUUUUGUUGUUUUCCAAAACUUGGGGGUGAAUGCAAGAUCCUUGGGAUGAAGGCUGGGAGUGACUCUGUUCAAGUUUGUGACAAAUCUUACUGUUGUUUGGCUGAGUCAGGGUUUUAAAUCCCAUUUGGUUGUUAAAAACCUCUCUGUUUUUUAUAUGACACCACUUGAGCCUGAGCUGGCAGAUGAGCUAAGUGCAGAUGAGCUUUAGACCCUGCAAACAAAAUCUUGCCAUCGUUAAAAAAAGGCAGAAAGAGAUGUAGGGUGAAUGAGCACCAGCCUCAGCCUAGGCACCAGCAGGGCUGGAUCCGUUCCUGAUUCUGCUGCCCUGGAGGUGGCCCUGGGCUGUCCUCUGUCACCUGCUACUGUGACAGGACAGGGCCUCCCUGCGAAGGUCAGGGCUGAUCCCAGCAUGGUCCCAUCGAGCAGCUUUUUAUUGUGUUUGGUGCUCAAACACUGAAUAUAUUCUUCUCAUUGAACUGAGAAGUUUUAGAGCAAUUUCUGAGCCUGUUUGGUGAGGAGGAGCUUUUUAGUGACGUUCAAACCCAGAGCAGAGCGAGGCUGUUAAAUUUAACUCUGUGUGUGUUUCUGGUGCUGUAAAUUUGCCUCAGCGUUGCUGGAGGAGGAGCUGAUCCAGCUGGGAUGUGCUGUGAACAGUGGGAAGGGGCAGAGCAGGUUGUGACUGAACAACAUUUGGUCCAUUUUAAGGGGAAUAGUUGGGAUUGUGGAGCUUGGGGUGGUUGUUGAGUUGUGUCAGUGCCGACAGGGUCUGUCCUGUCACUGGUGUUGGUUCCGGCAAAACUUUGGGCAGCAGCAUUAAUCUGAGACUCAAACUUGGGUGCAAAGAGUCUCUUGAAAUUUUGACUCAAACUAAUCUGUGUUCAGAAUUUAACUUAGCAAUGUGUUUUUCCUUGUUAGAAUAAAACUGAGAAGUGUUUUAAUGACUCUUAUUUUCUUUUUAAGUAUGUUGACAUGUUUGUGUCCUUCCAUAUGUGCAAGAACCUCAGUCAAUCCAGCUAUUCUCAUUUCACAUAAAAUUUUGGUGUGUAAAGUAUAAACAACAAAAAGGUGAAAUCCAAUUAUGGCAUUUAGGAAAAUAUUUCAGCAGGUGCCUUUUCUGUGACAGUGGGCAUUGGGUAUUGUCUAGAUCUGUGUGAGGCCACAAGGUGUUACCCAAGUCAGGCUUUUUUAUUCUUUUGGAUUCCUGCAUCCCCCCUGUUUUAUAAACCAGAUUCUGUUGUGGGUUUUUUUGUGCAUAGUUUUUUUCGCCUUUCUUUUUUCCCCUUAGAUUUUCACAAUGCCUUUACAAUUAAGAAAACUCGUUCAAUUUGCCUUUAAAUCACCCUGCAGCAGCUCUUCAAAACCUCCCAUCGCUCUGCCAGCCCUUUCUUUAGGUGGGUGGACGAGGAAAGGAGUCACUGGGUGAAGAGAGGCAAACAAGGAAA